AUUGAACGCUGGCGGCAGGCCUAACACAUGCAAGUCGGACGGUAGCACAGAGGAGCUUGCUCCUCGGGUGACGAGUGGCGGACGGGUGAGUAAUGUCUGGGGAUCUGCCCGAUAGAGGGGGAUAACCACUGGAAACGGUGGCUAAUACCGCAUAACGUCGCAAGACCAAAGAGGGGGACCUUCGGGCCUCUCACUAUCGGAUGAACCCAGAUGGGAUUAGCUAGUAGGCGGGGUAAUGGCCCACCUAGGCGACGAUCCCUAGCUGGUCUGAGAGGAUGACCAGCCAAACUGGAACUGAGACACGGUCCAGACUCCUACGGGAGGCAGAAGUGGGGAAUAUUGCACAAUGGGCGCAAGCCUGAUGCAGCCAUGCCGCGUGUAUGAAGAAGGCCUUCGGGUUGUAAAGUACUUUCAGCGGGGAGGAAGGCGGUGCGGUUAAUAACCGCGCCGAUUGACGUUACCCGCAGAAGAAGCACCGGCUAACUCCGUGCCAGCAGCCGCCGUAA
rnacentral:rRNA from 1 species